UUGCCUCAAAUUUUGUGACUUAAGGAUAAAGUCAACUAGAGGAGAUCUACUAACAUUCAUUCACGCCAAGAUUUAUCCGGUUUUAGCUAGUAAAUUUAAGCAAGUAACAGUUCACAUUAAAAAGCAAACACAACCACUAGAAAGCGACCAAAAAAAAACAAUGCAAGGAACUACCUGAGGGCCAAGAUGAAUGCUAAAGACUGGAAGACAUGAGAAUUAAAAAUCAUGUCUUGAGGAGAACAGUUAAACCAGCCAAGGACUACCUGACGGUCAUGCUUGAUGCUAAAGGCUGGAAGACAUAAGAAUAGGCAAAUGUAGCCGGGCUUUCUUACUUUGAUACAGCAGUAUAAGUGUAAUAGGGUUUUUAGAGCAAGAUACUUUGUGUCAAUGAUACUGUAAAUCUGUCAAACAUUUUUUAUCAACCAGAAGAUAAUGAGGGAAGGGGAAAUGAUGGGAGAGUGGUCAAUCAAGUUGUUGCAAUAGUGUUAAAGUUUUUAUCAAAAAUAUAGUCCCAGUUUCUUUUUUCUCUCUCUAUUGACUAUUUUUAUAUGCAAUUGAUAAUUAUUUGCUGUUUUCCCCUCUGCACCCUGAAUAAAUAAAAAUAGGUUAGGUUUGAAAUUAGACAUUUAUAUUUAGCACUAAUCAGGAAUAUCAAGGAUUGGUUUUUAAUUUGCUUCCCAAGUCAAUUUGUUCUCCUCCAUUUGAUUGCAUUUAAUUUUGUUGUAGCAUUAGCAUGUGUGGAUCCAGUUGCAGGGUUUCUAUAAAAUAAAAUAAAAACAGCAGGCCACCAUGCUAAAGGGUGGUUCACCAAUAUGUAAUGCAUGACUGAGGUAUAUUUGUGGAUUUUAAUUUCCUUUGUGAUGGAGUAUCACUAGUAAGUGGCACCUGAAGUGUAUCUAACUAUAUCAUUUUAUCUUUGGAAUGCUGUUUCAGCCAUUAUUUGUUUCUUUGCAAGGGCAAAGCCGGUCAGAAUUUACCUAGUGCUAGUGUAGUAGUGUACAUGAAUGGAACUUCUAUAAAAGGGUUUUUUAUUAGGGCAAGGUACUUACUUAAUAAAUUAAAUAAAGAUAACAAACUUGUGCUUUUUCAAUAAUAAAUCUAUAAAGAAAA